rnacentral:rRNA from 1 species
UACGGAGGGUGCAAGCGUUAUCCGGAUUCACUGGGUUUAAAGGGUGCGUAGGUGGGUUUGUAAGUCAGUGGUGAAAUCUCCAAGCUUAACUUGGAAACUGCCGUUGAUACUAUAAAUCUUGAAUGUUGUGGAGGUGAGCGGAAUAUGUCAUGUAGCGGUGAAAUGCUUAGAUAUGACAUAGAACACCAAUUGCGAAGGCAGCUCACUAGACAAAGAUUGACACUGAGGCACGAAAGCGUGGGGAGCAAACAGG